rnacentral:rRNA from 1 species
UACGAAGGGGGCUAGCGUUGUUCGGAAUUACUGGGCGUAAAGGGCGCGUAGGCGGCGUGUCAAGUCAGGCGUGAAAGCCCCGGGCUCAACCUGGGAACCGCGCUUGAGACUGGCAUGCUCGAGUUCGGGAGAGGAUGGUGGAAUUCCCAGUGUAGAGGUGAAAUUCGUAGAUAUCAGGAGGAACACCGGUGGUGUAGACGGCUUACUGGACCAUGACUGACGCUGAGGCACGAAAGCGUGGGUAGCAAACAGG